UUAAUACUAACUACCAAGUAUUAUAAACCUUUUACAUGUUUGAAAUUUACUGAAAAAUACAUAUACCAAAAGACAGAUUAAAAUAGAUUAAGUAUAAAAAGUUGACCCUUGAACAACAUGAGAGUUAAGGGCACCAAGCCCCACAUAGUCUAAAAUCUACAUAUAACUUUUGACUCCCCAAAAACUUAACUACUAAUAUUCAACUGUUGACUAGAAACCUUACCAAUAAUAUAAACAAUUAAUAUAUAUUUUAUAUGUAUUAUAUAUUAUAUUCUUAUAAAGUAAGCUAGACAAAAGAAAAUGCUAUUAAGGAAAUAAUAAGGGAAGUAUAGUUACAGUACUGUACUAUAAAUAAUUUAUGUAAAAGUGUAUCUGUUCAGUUCAAAUCCAUGUUGUUCAAGAUUCAACUACGUGUGUGUGUGUGUGUGUGUGUGUGUGUGUGUGUGUACUGCUCUACAAUACAGGUUUUAUAUUUUCCUUCUUGAGAUGAGGCUCAAAGAGCUAAAAUAACUUGGCUAAGAACAAACAUCUCAUUAGUGGCAAAGUCAGGAUUCCAACUCAAGUAGAUCCAUAUUCUUUACACAAUGCUUACAAUUUCUAACAUUUCCAUCUUUAUCUUUUGUUAUCACUAACUCCCACUGUCCACUUUCUCUGCUCCCACUCCUAGGUCAAUGAAACUUCUGCAGAAGCUCAAAAACAUAUGCUGUCUGGAUAGGCUACAUAAUCCUGCCAUUUACUACAGCUAGCAGUUCACAGAAGACAGAAGAGGACAGAGCCCAGUUAAGACACUUUCCUCUGUGGACUAACAGCUCCAUGUCAUCAUUUCCUUUUCCUCAGGUCAGACUCAUCAGAUUCUAUUUAUUUAAUUCUAUUCCGUUCAAUAAACAAAGUUCUGGAGUACCCCAAAACUAUUUUAAAACUUUUGCUUCAAAAACAACCAAAAAAAUCUGAUCAAAUUUACCUGAUCCACAAAGUGUUCAGAAACCCUAAAACCACAUGAAUUUACUACAUAAAUCAAGGUCUAGCACUUCUAAAUUUCAGUCAAUUAAACCUGCUAAAAUUUUAGGAAAAAAAUCUAACUCUUACCCUAGGAACAACAUUCUGUAAAACUUAAAUGGACCCCAAAUUCCUUCCUCUAAUAAAAGAAAUGGUCAACACCA
rnacentral:lncRNA from 12 species